AACGAACGCUGGCGGCAUGCCUAACACAUGCAAGUCGAACGAAGGCUUCGGCCUUAGUGGCGCACGGGUGCGUAACGCGUGGGAACCUGCCCCUCGGUUCGGAAUAACAGUUAGAAAUGACUGCUAAUACCGGAUGAUGACUUCGGUCCAAAGAUUUAUCGCCGAGGGAUGGGCCCGCGUAGGAUUAGCUAGUUGGUGGGGUAAAGGCCUACCAAGGCGACGAUCCUUAGCUGGUCUGAGAGGAUGAUCAGCCACACUGGGACUGAGACACGGCCCAGACUCCUACGGGAGGCAGCAGUGGGGAAUAUUGGACAAUGGGCGAAAGCCUGAUCCAGCAAUGCCGCGUGAGUGAUGAAGGCCUUAGGGUUGUAAAGCUCUUUUACCAGGGAUGAUAAUGACAGUACCUGGAGAAUAAGCUCCGGCUAACUCCGUGCCAGCAGCCGCGGUAAUGGUAGACGU
rnacentral:rRNA from 1 species